CAGCACCUCAAGUGGUCAGGAUGAUUAUUGGGCCUAAAGCAUCCGUAGCCGGCGCUGUAACUUUUCGGUUAAAUCUGUACGCUCAACGUACAGGCUGCCGGGAAUACUGCAGCGCUAGGGAGUGGGAGAGGUAGACGGUACUCGGUAGGAAGGGGUAAAAUCCUUUGAUCUAUUGAUGACCACCUGUGGCGAAGGCGGUCUACCAGAACACGUCCGACGGUGAGGGAUGAAAGCUGGGGGAGCAAACCGGAUUAGAGACCCGAGUAGUCC
rnacentral:rRNA from 1 species